rnacentral:rRNA from 1 species
AGAGUUUGAUCCUGGCUCAGAUUGAACGCUGGCGGAAUGCUUUACACAUGCAAGUCGAACGGCAGCACGGACUUCGGUCUGGUGGCGAGUGGCGAACGGGUGAGUAAUAUAUCGGAACGUGCCCAGUCGUGGGGGAUAACGUAGUGAAAAUUACGCUAAUACCGCAUACGAUCUAAGGAUGAAAGCGGGGGAUCGCAAGACCUCGCGCGAUUGGAGCGGCCGAUAUCAGAUUAGGUAGUCGGUGAGGUAAAGGCUCACCAAGCCAACGAUCUGUAGCUGGUCUGAGAGGACGACCAGCCACACUGGGACUGAGACACGGUCCAGACUCCUACGGGAGGCAGCAGUGGGGAAUUUUGGACAAUGGACGCAAGUCUGAUCCAGCCAUUCCGCGUGCAGGACGAAGGCCUUCGGGUUGUAAACUGCUUUUGUACAGAACGAAAAGGUCUCUAUUAAUACUAGGGGCUCAUGACGGUACUGUAAGAAUAAGCACCGCCUAACUACGUGCCAGCAGCCGCGGUAAUACGUAGGGUGCAAGCGUUAAUCGGAAUUACUGGGCGUAAAGCGUGCGCAGGCGGUUAUAUAAGACAGAUGUGAAAUCCCCGGGCUCAACCUGGGAACUGCAUUUGUGACUGUAUAGCUGGAGUGCGGCAGAGGGGGAUGGAAUUCCGCGUGUAGCAGUGAAAUGCGUAGAUAUGCGGAGGAACACCGAUGGCGAAGGCAAUCCCCUGGGCCUGCACUGACGCUCAUGCACGAAAGCGUGGGGAGCAAACAGGAUUAGAUACCCUGGUAGUCCACGCCCUAAACGAUGUCAACUGGUUGU